AUUGAACGCUGGCGGCGUGCUUAACACAUGCAAGUCGAUCGGUAACGCGGGGGCAACCCUGGCGACGAGAGGCGGACGGGUGAGGAACGCUUGGGAAUCUGCCUAUCAGCGGGGGACAACCCAGGGAAACUCGGGCUAAUACCGCAUACGCUCUACGGAGGAAAGCCGGGGACCGCAAGGCCUGGCACUGAUAGAUGAGCCCAAGUCGGAUUAGCUAGUUGGCGGGGUAACGGCCCACCAAGGCGACGAUCCGUAGCUGGUCUGAGAGGACGAUCAGCCACACUGGGACUGAGACACGGCCCAGACUCCUACGGGAGGCAGGAGUGGGGAAUAUUGGACAAUGGGGGAAACCCUGAUCCAGCGACGCCGCGUAGGUGAAGAAGGCCUGCGGGUUGUAAAGCCCUUUCGGUAGGGACGAAAGCUCUCGACCUAACACGUCGGGAGGUUGACUUAACCUACAAAAGAAGCACCGGCUAACUCUGUGCCAGCAGCCGCCGUAAGAC
rnacentral:rRNA from 1 species